GCUGCUACUACUACUCUGUUAAGCUUCUGCUUCUGAUCUUUUUAGUUUCUCUCUGAAGAAAGGUGAAUUUGUAUGGCCGCCAAUUCGAAGAGUACUCAAGGGAUCGCCAGCUUGGGAAAGCGAGUUGUCACCCAGAUCUGGACUGCUAACUACUCAUCACCCCGCUCUGCUUCUGCCUUCACUGUGGCCAGGAGGGCAGCACACACAUCCGUAUACGACAAGAACCUUGAUGAUCAGGUUCAGCCAAGUGUGGUUCCAGACGAUGUGAUUCAACCCCAGUCCAACAAAUACUGGGCACCACAUCCACAAACCGGUGUCUUUGGGCCUGCCACCGACGCACAUUCGGCGUCAGGCCGAGAGAGUGGCUUCUCAACCGCAUCUGCUAACGGUGGUCAGAGCUCAGUUUUGGAGGAAAAGGCCUGGUUCCGCCCCACUAGUCUUGAGGACUUGGAGAAGCCGAACCACCACGCUUGAGACUACAUAUAUCAAGCAUAAUUGUGCGCCCUAAUCCAUGCAUGAAUAAAUGCUGUGAAAUACUACCAGCUUAUUAAUGUUGAUAAUAUAAACUGUUAGUACGGUAUGGUGAUUACUGGUGUGGAAGUAGCUAUAUAUGCGAACUUGCAUAUCAUCUGGUGACCUUGAUGUACGGAUGGUUGGGGAUUAUGUAUGCACAGUAUUAUGCUAUAAAAUACUUGAUUAGUUUGUGAGAUGUGAUGUUGGCCCCCCCUGGCUCUCCCCACCCUAAGCCUGUCAUCCUUUCUAUAUAAUUGUAUCUACCUCUUGUGGUAGGUGUGAUUUAACUAUUUUAGCUUAUGUUGAUUGUUGAUAAACAAGCUAAUGGACGGAAAGGGGCUGUUUGCCUACUGGUUGUUAGGUAUUACUUCCU
rnacentral:misc_RNA from 1 species